rnacentral:rRNA from 1 species
UUAGCGGCGGACGGGUGAGUAACACCCUGGGUAACCUGCCCAUAAGACUGGGAUAACUCCGGGAAAUCGGGGCUAAUACCGGAUAACAUUUUGCACCGCAUGGUGCGAAAUUGAAAGGCGGCUUCGGCUGUCACUUAUGGAUGGACCCGCGUCGCAUUAGCUAGUUGGUGAGGUAACGGCUCACCAAGGCAACGAUGCGUAGCCGACCUGAGAGGGUGAUCGGCCACACUGGGACUGAGACACGGCCCAGACUCCUACGGGAGGCAGCAGUAGGGAAUCUUCCGCAAUGGACGAAAGUCUGACGGAGCAACGCCGCGUGAGUGAUGAAGGCUUUCGGGUCGUAAAACUCUGUUGUUAGGGAAGAACAAGUGCUAGUUGAAUAAGCUGGCACCUUGACGGUACCUAACCAGAAAGCCACGGCUAACUACGUGCCAGCAACCGCGGUAAUACGUAGGUGGCAAGCGUUAUCCGGAAUUAUUGGGCGUAAAAGCGCGCGCAGGUGGUUUCUUAAGUCUGAUGUGAAACCCACGGCUCAACCGUGGAGGGUCAUUGGAAACUGGGAGACUUGAGUGCAGAAGAGGAAAGUGGAAUUCCAUGUGUAGCGGUGAAAUGCGUAGAGAUAUGGAGGAAACACCAGUUGGCAAAAGCGACUUUUCAGGUCUGUAACUGAACACUGGAGGCGC